AGAAAAAUUCCGCUCCGCGCGUAUGGAAAACCGGCUUAAUUCGCAUACGCAUAGUUUUCUCUUUGUGUGCGACAUAUUUAGCGAAUUUGUGUAUUUCUAAUUUUUGUUGUAGUGAAUUAAGUGUCAUGGCUUCCUUGAAACUGCAAGAAACAGCGCCAGAUUUUACAAGGUUUAGGAAGCUCUUCAUGCCGACAUAACAUCUUAUUGACGGCGUGGAAUUUACUUUUUACUUGACCCGUCCGGUUACGCAGCGAUCGUAUUGUGAAAUCGAAGCUUGCAUGUAGCUGUUUCUUCAAAGAACAUCUGUGGUUUAGCUCCACCAGCCGACAAGGUGUAUGAAUACGAUGCCUCCAAACAUGGAUAGAUCUCCUCAAGCAAAUAUCACGAGAGACAACGUUUUAACGUUAAAGGAAACCUGCAACUAAUACAUAUAGGUUAAAUUACACUAGCAACAUUGCAUACAUGUACUAUUAUAGUUAGAUAUAUAGUUUAAUAAAAAGUCGCUAGAAUGUGUUUGAAUAAUUAUACAUUAGUAAAACGUUUCUAAGAAGAUUCAAUAAAAAGAAAAUAAAUUAAUUCAGC